rnacentral:lncRNA from 1 species
AAAUGGGUGAAAUUUUGAGUUCGGAUGAUGUUUUUGAAAGAAAAAUCAGAAACUGGGGGUCAUAGUGCAAAUAAAGAAAAUUUUGUUGCGCAGGACCACCCAGUCAGCAACUCCAACGAACCGGGGCACUCCAGGUGGAAAGGAACGCUGACGUCGGUGCCACGCGGGAUGUCACGCAGGGAUCCGCGUGUCCCGCAAUCGAACGAUCUAGGAUCGAUCCCGCGAGUGUGGACGACCCGAAUUUGUUCCCUUUUUAAACGUGAUCGGAUGAUCGAGAUCAAAUCGCGAUGAACAAUCCAAAUUUAUUUUCUCUUUAAACGCUAUCAGAUGGUCGAGAUCAAACACGAUAAAUAGCCUAGAUUCAUUUUUUCCUUAGGUGCGAUCGAACGGUCGAGAUCAAACGUGACGAACAGUUCAGAUUAAUACGAGAUGAGUAUAAAUAUUU